UACGUAGGUGGCAAGCGUUAUCCGGAAUUAUUGGGUUUAAAGGGUGCGCAGGCGGGGGAUUAAGUCGGCGGUGAAAUUUUGCAGCUCAACUGUAAAAGUGCCUUCGAAACUGGUUUCCUUGAGUGUGGAUGAAGUAGGCGGAAUUUGUGGUGUAGCGGUGAAAUGCAUAGAUAUCACGAGGAACUCCGAUUGCGCAGGCAGCUUACUAAACCAUAACUGACGCUCAGGCACGAAGGCGUGGGGAUCAAACAGGAUUAGAUACCCGCGUAGU
rnacentral:rRNA from 1 species